UCUCCGUCCCGCCCCCUCCCCGUGCCUUUGGCUGGAUCCUCUUGCGUGGCCGAUGUGGGCUCCUGCCGGAAGCAGUCGUGGAGCAGCAGGUGGAGUCCGGAGCCGAGGUACAGCAACCAUGGCAGACCCAUCAGAGGUCACUCGGAUCCUUGUCACUGGAGGCUCUGGCUUGGUGGGGUAGGCCAUACAGAGAGUAGUGGCUGAUGAUGCUACCAAGCCUGGAGAAGAGUGGAUAUUUGUCUUCUCUAAGGAUGCAGACUUGAUGGACACAGCCCAGACCCGAGCCCUGUUUGAGAAACAUCAACCUACAUAUGUCAUCCAUUUGGCAGCCAUGGUGGGUGGCCUCUUCCGGAACAUCAAGUAUAACCUGAACUUCUGGGUAAGAAAGGAUUAUGCCUUUGCAGCUUAAAGGGGAAAGACCCAACAUGAGAAAGAACAUUCAAAUCAACGACAAUGUCUUGCACUCAGCCUAUGAGGUGGGCACUCGGAAGGUGAUCUCUUGCCUCUCCACCUGUAUCUUCCCUGACAAGACCACUUACCCCAUCGAUGAGACCAUGAUUCACAAUGGACCCCCACACAACAGCAACUUCGGCUACUCCUAUGCUAAGCGCAUGAUCGACGUACAAAACAGGUCUGGGAUGUUUGGGAGACAGUAGUGCUAAAAGCUGUAGGCCACUGUCUUCAUCACACACACCUUCCAAAACUCAUAAGCCCCCACUCUCCAUCCUGUCAAUCAACAAGCAUUUAUUAAACAUCUAUUGUAGUAAUUAUCAGAAAUAAAAAACAAUAACAACAUAAUUAUUAUAAUAAUAGCUAGCAUUUAUGUAGCUUUUACUAUUGUGCUAGGCACUAUGCUAGGCAAUUUGUAAAUAGUUUAUUUUGGAAAUGAAGUAAACCCUUCUCUCAUUAAGAUUAUGUUCUUUUGGGAGAAAUACUACAUAUAUAAUCAAGCAAUCAAACAUUAAGUACCUCUUAUGUGUUGGACACUUUACUGGGGGUACAAAGGACAAAUAAAAUCAAUCCCUUUCCUCAAGGAAUUUGCAUUCUAAUUUUGGAGACAAUUUCUAUAUAAAUAGACACAUAUAAGAGACCAGCAGAGUAAAAGGGAAGAAACCUUAGAAAGGAAGACAUCAGUAUCUAGAGAGACCUAAGAAGACUUCCUGCAGACAAUGGCAUUUCAGCUGAGACUUGAAGCCAGCCAGAAUCUAAGAAUCUUAAAUGAAAGGGACAGCAUACCAGACAUGGAGACAGUCAGGACCAAGGUAUGGAGGUGGGAGUGUUGCAUGUGAGGAGUUGGAAGAAGGCUAGUAUAACAAAAUUGUAGAGAGGAGAAAGGCAUAAGAACCUGGAAAGAUAGGUGGGAAAGGGAAUGAGGUUGUGAAGAGCUUUUUUUUUUUUUUUAAUAAGUUUUUGUUUUUAUCAAUGUGGUGAGUUUGUUUUUUAAUACAUCACUUUGGUUUCCCUCCCAGAGAGACAUCCCAUAUAACAGAGUAUUUUUUUAAAGGGAGAAAAAAUGAAAAAGAAAAAAAUGUGAUGAUAACUGUACAUCAAAAAAGUCUGAAAAUGUUCAGUGUACAAUGCUUGUGGUUCUUUGAUCUUUGCAAAGAGGUUAAGUCAGGGUAACUCCUCAUCUUUUUAUUUCAAGGCAUGCUUGUUUUUAAUUUUAUAACAUUCGCUUUUGUGUGUGUGUAUGUUUUUCUGUUUCUGUUGAUAUAGAAAAAUGAUUACAAUAAUAUAACUUUCCUGACUCUG